UACGUAGGGGGCGAGCGUUGUCCGGAUUUAUUGGGCGUAAAGAGCUCGUAGGCGGUCUGUUGCGUCUGCCGUGAAAACCCGAGGCUUAACCUCGGGCCUGCGGUGGAUACGGGCAGACUAGAGGUAGGUAGGGGAGAAUGGAAUUCCCGGUGUAGCGGUGAAAUGCGCAGAUAUCGGAAGGAACGCCGGUGGCGAAAGCGAGCUGCUGGAUCCCUCCUGACGCUGAGGCGCGAAAGCGUGGGGAGCAAACAGG
rnacentral:rRNA from 1 species